rnacentral:rRNA from 1 species
UGGGGAAUAUUGCACAAUGGAGGGAACUCUGAUGCAGCGACGCCGCGUGAGUGAAGAAGUAAUUCGUUAUGUAAAGCUCUAUAAGCAGGGAAGAAAGUGACGGUACCUGAAAAAGAAGCUCCGGCUAAAUACGUGCCAGCAGCCGCGGUAAUACGUAUGGAGCAAGCGUUAUCCGGAUUUACUGGGUGUAAAGGGAGAGUAGGUGGCAGAGCAAGUCCGAAGUGAAAACCCAAAGCUCAACUAUGGGAAUGCUUUAGAAACUGCUCAGCUAGAGUGCAGGAGAGGCAAGUGGAAUUCUUAGUGUAGCGGUGAAAUGCGUAGAUAUUAGGAGGAACACCAGUGGCGAAGGCGGCUUGCUGGACUGUAACUGACACUGAGGCUCGAAAGCGUGGGGAGCAAACA